rnacentral:rRNA from 1 species
UAACCUGCCCUUAACUCUGGGAUAAGCCUGGGAAACUGGGUCUAAUACCGGAUAUGACUCCUCAUCGCAUGGUGGGGGGUGGAAAGCUUUAUUGUGGUUUUGGAUGGACUCGCGGCCUAUCAGCUUGUUGGUGAGGUAAUGGCUCACCAAGGCGACGACGGGUAGCCGGCCUGAGAGGGUGACCGGCCACACUGGGACUGAAACACGGCCCAAACUCCUACGGGAGGCAGCAGUGGGGAAUAUUGCACAAUGGGCGAAAGCCUGAUGCAGCGACCCCGCGUGAGGGAUGACGGCCUUCGGGUUGUAAACCUCUUUCAGUAGGGAAGAAGCGAAAGUGACGGUACCUGCAGAAAAAGCGCCGGCUAACUACGUGCCAGCAGCCGCGGUAAUACGUAGGGCGCAAGCGUUAUCCGGAAUUAUUGGGCGUAAAGAGCUCGUAGGCGGUUUGUCGCGUCUGCCGUGAAAGUCCGGGGCUCAACUCCGGAUCUGCGGUGGGUACGGGCAGACUAGAGUGAUGUAGGGGAGACUGGAAUUCCUGGUGUAGCGGUGAAAUGCGCAGAUAUCAGGAGGAACACCGAUGGCGAAGGCAGGUCUCUGGGCAUUAACUGACGCUGAGGAGCGAAAGCAUGGGG